AAUCAACGCUGGCGGCGUGCCUCAGACAUGCAAGUCGAACGCUGCUGUUCGCCUUCGGGUGGACAGCGGAGUGGCGCACGGGUGAGUAACACGUAGGUAAUCUACCUUUGGGUGGGAAUAACAGCCGGAAACGGCUGCUAAUACCGCAUAAUGCAGCGGCAUCACAUGAUGACAGUUGUUAAAGCGAGGGAUCGUAAGACCUCGCGCCUGAAGAGGAGCCUGCGGCAGAUUAGGUAGUUGGUGAGGUAAUGGCUCACCAAGCCUGCGAUCUGUAACCGGCCUGAGAGGGCGGUCGGUCACACUGACACUGACAUACGGGUCAGACUCCUACGGGAGGCAGCAGUCGGGAAUUUUGGG
rnacentral:rRNA from 1 species